UAAAAAUAAAAAAAUUUCCCGUAUAUGCUUAGUGAUAAGGUCUAAGUGUUUCUACCGGACUACCGUAAAUUGUCUGACUAUGGGUGUUUGUA
rnacentral:ncRNA from 1 species